CACGUAGGGGGCAAGCGUUGUCCGGAAUUAUUGGGCGUAAAGGGCUCGUAGGCGGUUUGUUGCGUCGGGAGUGAAAACUUACAGCUUAACUGUGAGCGUGCUUCCGAUACGGGCAGACUUGAGGUAUUCAGGGGAGAACGGAAUUCCUGGUGUAGCGGUGAAAUGCGCAGAUAUCAGGAGGAACACCGGUGGCGAAGGCGGUUCUCUGGGAAUAUCCUGACGCUGAGGAGCGAAAGUGUGGGGAGCGAACAGG
rnacentral:rRNA from 1 species